GACGAACGCUGGCGGCGUGCUUAACACAUGCAAGUCGAACGGAAAGGCCCUGCUUUUGUGGGGUGCUCGAGUGGCGAACGGGUGAGUAACACGUGAGUAACCUGCCCUUGACUUUGGGAUAACUUCAGGAAACUGGGGCUAAUACCGGAUAGGAGCUCCUGCUGCAUGGUGGGGGUUGGAAAGUUUCGGCGGUUGGGGAUGGACUCGCGGCUUAUCAGCUUGUUGGUGGGGUAGUGGCUUACCAAGGCUUUGACGGGUAGCCGGCCUGAGAGGGUGACCGGCCACAUUGGGACGGAGAUGCGGCCCAGACCCCUACGGGACGGGGCGGUGGGGAAUAUUAUACAAUGGGCGGAAGCCUGAUCCAACAACGCCGCGUGCGGGAUGACGGCCAUCGGGUUGUGUUCCGCUUUCGCCUGAGACGAAGCGUGAGUGACGGUAAUGGGUGAAGAAGCACCGGCUAACUACGUG
rnacentral:rRNA from 1 species